ACCUUUGCCCAGUGGCAGUAUCGUAGCCAAUGAGGUUUAUCUGAGGCUCAAUUAUUGCUAAUUGAAAACUUUUCCCAAUACCCCACCAUGAUGACUUGAAAUAUAGUCAGCAUUGGUAAUUUUUGGCAAUCUCUAUGGGGA
rnacentral:snRNA from 1 species